GAUGAAAAACGCAGCGAAAUGCGAUAAGUAGUGUGAAUUGCAGAAUUCAGUGAAUCAUCGAAUCUUUGAACGCACAUUGCGCCCCUUGGUAUUCCAUGGGGCAUGCCUGUUCGAGCGUCAUUUGUACCCUCAAGCUUUGCUUGGUGUUGGGCGUCUUGUCGUAUUACGACUCGCCUUAAAUACAUUGGCAGCCGGCACUUUGGCCUAGGAGCGCAGCACAUUUUGCGAUCGUAGCCCGUUGUACUGGCGUCCAUCAAGAACAUUUACCACGUUUGACCUCGGAUCAGGUAGGGAUACCCGCUGAACUUAAGCAUAUCAAUAAGCGGAGGA
rnacentral:misc_RNA from 1 species